UUUUCUGACUCCAAUCUUUUAUAGUUCUCAAAAGAUGCCAGUGGAUUGGAGGGUGAAUGUGCCACCUCUCCAACGACACUGGACAAACUACCUGUACAUCAAAUUUCUCCGCCUCUAUGAAAGAAUGCAAAACAAUAGGUUAUUUACAGAAAGUUGUGUGAGAAAGUUCUCUACAAGAAUGUAAACUCAGAAGGCUUUAGAAAACUCUUGAUAACCAGGGCGACAGUCCGGCUCUCUGUCUCUUUCCCUCUAGUGGGGGGAACAAAGACAUCUCCACUUCUCUCCACCGUUCCAUCCGCAGGAGCUGGCUCGGUUCUAGACCUUCAGCCCCCUUGGCCUACCUGGACCAGGCCGCACGGCUUCCCCUCCCGCACCCAGCCUGUGGCUGGGCAGGGGAGAGUCUGCACUGCACUCUGACCGGAACCAAAGAGACAGUUCCCCUGGGAGUUCUUGCUUUUUGUGUGCUCAGAGGUGUGUCUAUACUUUCAGUGGUCAUUCCAGGUGCCAGUAUCCAAACCUGACCACUGAUUGGUUUGACCCGAACUUUCUGAAAAAUUCACUUCCGUGUCAAGCCACAACUCUGCUUCUAAAUGCUGCUCCUUCAGCUCUAAAAGGCUGCAGGAGAUGAGAACACAACAUUUGCCAACACUGACUGCAAGCCACAGCUGCGGGUGCUCCCUGUGAACCUCAGCUGUGGGACCACUGUCUGCCCCAAGCUUCAGGGGCUGCAGUGGGAGCCUGGCUGGGCUCUGCCCUGGGGCCAUCCUGCAGGGACAGCUGCAAACAGGGAGCAUUCCCUUGCCACCAAGAGCCAAGCCGGGGCUGCAGGGCAGCUGCUCCAGCCCAGACUGCACUGCUGAGUGCUGUGCUCUGGGGCUGGGGCUCCCCGCACAGGGGACUGGACUGGGAUGCCAGAGGAGACCAAGAAGCUGCAGCUUCAGCCGAACUGAGAUCUUCAGGGCUGUGCUGAGGAUCCCCUCUGAGCAGGGAUGGCACAAAGCCUUUUCCACCUGCCUCCCUCACCUGGCCGUG